CACUAAGAAGCUUGCAUAGCAGUAGCCCUUUAAUCUAUAGAAGAGAUUUUUCUCCUUAGUGG
rnacentral:tRNA from 1 species